rnacentral:rRNA from 1 species
AAUCAACGCUGGCGGCGUGCCUAACACAUGCAAGUCGCACGAGAAAGGGACUUCGGUCCUGAGUACAGUGGCGCACGGGUGAGUAACACGUGAAUCAUCUACCUUCGAGUGGGGAAUAACUGAGAGAAAUCUUAGCUAAUACCGCAUAAUACCUACGGGUCAAAGCAGCAAUGCGCUUGAAGAGGAGUUCGCGGCAGAUUAGUUAGUUGGCAGGGUAAUGGCCACCAAGACGAUGAUCUGUAUCCGGCCUGAGAGGGCGCACGGACACACUGGAACUGAAACACGGUCCAGACUCCUACGGGAGGCAGCAGUGGGGAAUUUUGCGCAAGUGGGGGAAACCCUGACGCAGCAACGCCGCGUGGAGGAU